GAUGAACGCUGGCGGCGUGCCUAAUACAUGCAAGUCGAGCGAAUGGAUUAAGAGCUUGCUCUUAUGAAGUUAGCGGCGGACGGGUGAGUAACACGUGGGUAACCUGCCCAUAAGACUGGGAUAACUCCGGGAAACCGGGGCUAAUACCGGAUAACAUUUUGAACCGCAUGGUUCGAAAUUGAAAGGCCGCUUCGGCUGUCACUUACGGAUGGACCCGGGUCGCAUUAGCUAGUUGGUGAGGUAACGGCUCACCAAGGCAACGAUGCGUAGCCGACCUGAGAGGGUGAUCGGCCACACUGGGACUGAGACACGGCCCAGACUCCUACGGGAGGCAGCAGUAGGGAAUCUUCCGCAAUGGACGAAAGUCUGACGGAGCAACGCCGCGUGAGUGAUGAAGGCUUUCGGGUCGUAAAACUCUGUUGUUAGGGAAGAACAAGUGCUAGUUGAGUAAGCUGGCACCUUGACGGUACCUAACCAGAAAGCCACGGCUAACUACGUGCCAGCCGCCGCAGUAA
rnacentral:rRNA from 1 species